UUAUAUAUGGUGUAUAGCACAUUAGAUUUUCAUUUUAAAGGGGUAUAAAAUACUAUAUCAG
rnacentral:tRNA from 4 species